AGGCGACGACGGGUAGCCGGCCUGAGAGGGCGACCCGGCCACACUGGGACUGAGACACGGCCCAGACUCGUACGGGAGGCAGCAGUGGGGAAUAUUGCACAAUGGGCGAAAGCCUGAUGCAGCGACGCCGCGUGAGGGAUGACGGCCUUCGGGUUGUAAACCUCUUUCAGCAGGGAAGAAGCGAAAGUGACGGUACCUGCAGAAGAAGCGCCGGCUAACUACGUGCCAGCAGCCGCGGUAAUACGUAGGGCGCAAGCGUUGUCCGGAAUUAUUGGGCGUAAAGAGCUCGUAGGCGGCUUGUCACGUCGGAUGUGAAAGCCCGGGGCUUAACCCCGGGUCUGCAUUCGAUACGGGCUAGCUAGAGUGUGGUAGGGGAGAUCGGAAUUCCUGGUGUAGCGGUGAAAUGCGCAGAUAUCAGGAGGAACACCGGUGGCGAAGGCGGAUCUCUGGGCCAUUACUGACGCUGAGGAGCGAAAGCGUGGGGAGCGAACAGGAUUAGAUACCCUGGUAGUCCACGCCGUAAACGUUGGGAACUAGGUGUUGGCGACAUUCCACGUCGUCGGUGCCGCAGCUAACGCAUUAAGUUCCCCGCCUGGGGAGUACGGCCGCAAGGCUAAAACUCAAAGGAAUUGACGGGGGCCCGCACAAGCAGCGGAGCAUGUGGCUUAAUUCGACGCAACGCGAAGAACCUUACCAAGGCUUGACAUAUACCGGAAACGGCUAGAGAU
rnacentral:rRNA from 1 species